CACCGUUUCGGUGGCAUUUAAAUCCCCGGCGCUCCUCCGUCUAGGUGACGCGCGGUCGCCCCCCCAGGCGGCCGGGGCCGCAGCGGCAGCAAGGGCAGGAUCGGAGCGCUGGG
rfam:Erinaceus europaeus unplaced genomic scaffold scaffold00321, whole genome shotgun sequence